rnacentral:lncRNA from 1 species
UCCAAACGUUACAGGGUUUAUCAUGUCAUAUUGAAGGCAUCUCAAAGUUUCAGAAAGCUCAUCAAUGCGUUAGUGUGAAGUACAGUCACCGACUACAAAAGCUGAAACUUGGUUUCCUACUUCAAUCCAACUACAUCCAGGCGUUUUCUUCAUGCCUCGUUCAGCCAUUUCUCUCCUUACAUCCUCAGCUUCCUUCCACCUCCCACUCGAGCACGAGCAGUACAAGUUAGACAACAGAACAAAACUCAUCUCCUCGCUUGGUUCAGCCAUCUUCAAAACGUUGCUAACCUCUCUCCCUAACUCUGUCUGCCAAUGCGUAGAACAAGCACCAAGAAGAGCUUCCCAUGAACCAUUAUAAGAUGUAGCCAGCUCCUUUGCUUCUGCUAGGUGUCCACUUCUCCCAAACGUAUCUAUCAUACAUGUCACAUGAUCUACUUCCAAUGGGAUUCCAUAAUCAUUAACCAUUGAUUUAAAAACCGCGCUGAGUGGCUGCAAGUUGUCAGCAGUCCAAUGAACGUCACUUUGUCUGGUUUAGUCACUGACGCUAUCAUGUCUUCAUAGAGCUUUAGAGCUUCCUCUGCUAACCCGUGCACACCGAAUGCGAAAAUCAUCGUGUUCCAAGAGACCAAAUCUUUGUUACCUAUAUCACUAAACGCACGGUUUGAUUCGUUGAUAUCUCCACAUUUAGCAUACAAAUUAACCAAAGCGUUACCAACAUAAGCAUAGCCUUGAAAGCCACAAGCCCACAAUGGAUCAAACAACCGUGAAUCAUUCUCCCCUGUCCCAAAAGAGCUAAUCCUGAACACGCGUGAAGAACGGAACCAUACGCAAAAUGAUCUGAACACACAUCAGAUCUCAUCAUCUCAACGAAAAACCUCAGAGCUUGCUCUCCAUCUCCGUUCUUACCGUACCCUGCAAUCAUAGUAGUCCAAGUAAUAAUAUUUCUCUCAGGAGCUAGUUUAAAAACCUCAAGAGCCUUCUCUGUUUCCCCUGUUUUCAUACACGCGUCGAUAACAGAGUUCCAAGAUACCUGAGUCAAGACUUCAAUAGACUCAAACUCUCUCAUAACAUCAUCUUUACAUCCUAAUUUCGCGUAUAAACUCAACACAGAGUUGCUCGCCUCAACCGCAGAGUCCCACCCGUUCUUUACCAUAAACAAGAUUUAAUGACUCAACACAAGCAUUCAUCAGAGAACUAAACGUAUAACAAUCAGGUUCACACUCACUCUCUACCAACAUCGCCUUGAAUAGCCUCAAACAAGACUCAACCUUUCCACAUUGGGCAUGACCAGAGAUCAUUAUAUUCCACGCAUACACAACCCUUUUCGGCAUUUCGACAAAAACAUCAAGGGCGGUUUCAAACUCUCCGGUGUUCAUAUACGCGAACAAAAGCGAGCACCAAGUUACUUCGUUUCUAACAUCACUACACAUAUCUCUAAACGUUUUCUUUGCGCUAAGAGUGUCAGAACACUUACCGUACAUGUCAAUAAGAGAAUUGUUCACCUCUAACGAAGCAACAUAGCUAGAACGUACAGCUAGAGAGUGAACCUGUCGACUAGCGCAAGUGCUCAAGAUCGCUGUAAAGGAGUAACCAUCAGGCUUAGCGUCGGAAAGUCUCAAGUGGGUGAAGAUCGAAAUAGCUUCCUGAUGUAGACCUAACCGAGAAUAGCUCGUUAGCAUUGUGUUCCACGCAACGGUGUCUCGUUCAGGCAUUUCGUCGAACACUUGGCGGGCGGCUGAUAUACGACCUGAUUUCGCUAAAGACGCGACCUUUGAAGUAAGACGAAACAAAACAGACAUUUGGGUCUGAUCAUGAACUCGAAAGUUUGCAUAAGCCAAAGUCCCUUUUCACAACAAUCACCAGAAUUUUGAAAGAGUAGCAUUGCCGCCAAAUUAAUGUAAAGUGACAAAAUUCGGUUUGAUAACACGGUUAGCAAAGACUUUUCUUAAUAACGGAUUAAAGUCUAUUUAGUUAGAUAAAUUACGUCUAGACAUUCGGAUACUCAUUCAAGUUUAGGAGUGAUUCUUUUAAAAGUUUGGAUAUUUUGUUCCAUUUAUAUUUUUCGGAUUAGAAUUAGUUUAUAAUUUCACCUAAUUGGUUGAGAUCAUUUGUCAUCCCAGCAUUCAUCAAAUUCAAAUGUUUAUAUUUGUACAUUCAAACUAAUAAUUGUAAUUUUGGAUAACUAAAUUAUUUCAAAUAUUAAUAUGACUACUGUAUUUUGGAUAUAUAUUUAUGUUUCAAAAUGUAUUUUUUUGGUAUUCAUUCGAAUUUCAGUUUGGUUCAGAAUCAAGUUUUAGUUCUUUAAAUAUAGGAAUUGAGUUCAUGUUAGAGUAUAGCCUUCCAAUUAGUUGAACUGGUUUUGGUUUGAUUCUUGGGUCCAGUUAUUUUGCACAAAUAAUGUACAAAUGUAGGUCUAAUUGGAUCAUAGGCGUCUGGAUCUGGAGCAAGCUUGAUAACUCUCCUGAACAUUGUCAUUAACACGUCAUCAACCAGAAAUGGGUAACCAACAGACAGUCUAAUGCAUAAUCUGACUCAUGCAAUUGAUCUUUGGCGCUGAAGACUUGAAAGGAGCCAGACGUUGUGAUCCCUAUUUCACUCAUUGUCUACGCGGUAAAUACCCUCAGUUUCCAUAUGUAUUAGUUGUGUGUUUAUGAUCUGGAACUCUUCUGCAUGGUAAAAUAACCAUAUCAGCUGGUCUGCCCUUAACCAAUUUAAUUAGGAUGUGUGUAAAAUAUUUUGCAGAUCUGUAUAAUCUAGGGUUAAUAUCGCUUUAUUAUUAACUAAUCGAACUCAUUAUUUGUAUAAUAUGCUCCAAAACUGACUAAUCUAGGGUUCGUAAUCGCUUUAUCAAUCGAUCGCCUCAUAUAUGACAGAUUAUUCUUACAUUUUGAUUCAAUUUAUCGAUAUUCAUACAUUUGUCUUGAACGAUUUGAUUUCGCAGGUUUAGCGGUGGCUGGUUGGGGCCGCCGCUGCCGCCGCCGCCCUCAUCUUCGCCGUUUUCCAUCUCUCCCGAAGUUUUUUCCGCUCUAAGCAAGAUCUUUGAAUAUUUGAAAUCUAUGUUGUCGAUUUUUGAAUAUUGGUUUAAAGUAUCCCAGUUGUUUUUGGGUUUGGGCCGGGAAAUUGAUGAAAUUUAUCUUUUUUGGGUUUGGCAUUUCAUAUUUUUAUAUGAUAUGAUUCACGAGCUCCAAAUUUGAUUAUUGUUCAAAGCUAUCAAAUAGUUCUGGUCCAAAGUGUGUCCGCCUGAGCAGCGUCAUGGACGUACUCAUCAUGGAUCAACUCAGGGUCUAAGCGAAGGACUAACUCCUCAAUACCGCAGGGCCGGUCCAAAGGACAGGCCACUCAAGCCAUCGAUUUGGGCAUAUAUUUAAAAAAAAAAAAAUCUUAUAUGUAUCUGUUAAACAAAUAGAAUUUGCAAGAUUCUAGGUAAAUAUUUAUUUUGGGGAUUAUUCUAGCAAAGUUUAAAAUGAUUAUGUUCAUGCAAUUAGAGUUAAUAUUGAAUUAAUUAUAAAAAUAUUUUGUACAAAUUAUUUACAGAAUAUUACGCAUUCACAUAUGGUGAUGAUUUAGUUAUAGAACUAAUGAUUUUUCGAAAAAUCAAGAUCUGUGGAGGUCCAAAGUUUAUUGAAGUUUCCAAUCAUUUUGCUACUCACAAUAUCCUGAAACUUCAUAUCAUUAGGACUUAAUAUAACAUUACAAUUUAGAUCAGUAGCACAUUUCUUUUCUGAAAGUAAAUUAGAGGUAAAUUCAAGCAUAUAAAAGGCUUUUGACUUUUUAUCAAACAAUUUAAGCUUUUCUAUUCCUCUAAUAGGAAUCUUAUCACCAUUAGCAAUCAUGACAUUAUCAUGAGCAUAUUCAAUAUUUUUAAUUAAGCUAGUGUCGCUAAUUAUAUGAUGAGAUACACACAUAAAUUGCUUAUCCUAUACUAUUAAUCAUUAUGCUAUCAAACACCGGAAGAAGUUUUCCAAAGUUAAAGCUGAUAAAAAUUAUUUGCAUUGUACUAUAUCACAAAAUAGUUCAAGUGGACUUUAUAUGUUAUCAAUUGAGGCAUAUAUAAUUAAAAGACUUAACUAUAUAGAUUUGGUGGAUAAUUUUACAAGAAAUAAAUGCAAUAAAAUCUAUAUUCAACAAAAAAUAUCAUGAAUUUCAAUAGCUUAUAUAAAUAGUUUAUGAAAUUUGAUUUUCUUUGUUGCUUGAUAUUAUUUUGUCUUCUUGAUCAAAUAUUUAUAAGGGCAUAAUUUUUUAUUUUGGUUUCAGGCAGUAUAAACCAUUAGACCGGCACUGCAAAACCAUGAUUGAUGAUGCGGUAGUAGUUGGGGAUGGCAAGGUUUCUCCCAAGGACCGGAUCCGGAUGAAAACCGAGGAAGCGGCAAGCUGGGUUGCGGAGGAAGUUGGCGAAGACACCGGAAACGUCAACCCAUGUCGCAUCCAACUGAAGAAGGAGGCAGUGCGAUCCGGUUGAACGGCUAUGACACUAACACCGUUUGUGGUAUUACUGUGGGAGCUAAUCCUCACAUGCAUUGCAUAGUAGUGAAGAUCAUCAAAAGACAAGACAAUGUGAUAGAAACACGUAUAUCCACUUUCAGGCCCGGCUCAGUUAGACUAUGGGCCUUGUGCCAAAAAAAACAAUGUAUUAUUAUAAAUUAAAAAAUCAGAACUCUAAUUAUACUAUGUUUACAGAUCAGGAUCCUAAUUACACUAUUUUUAUAAAUCAGGAAAAGGAAAUUAUCAAAAAAAAAAAUAGAGGAACCUAGUGCAAAACACCUUCCUAACUGUACAUUUUACUCUUAAACAAACGGAUUCAAUAUGUAAACAUUAUGAUAUGACGUAGAACAUAUCAAAUCAGAAUAAGCCAUAAGCACUCUGUUUAACUUAUAUUUGGCUAGGAAAAGAAAGGGAGAGUACCCGCAGAUUAUCGAUAUGGCGGUGGUGGAGCAGCCAUGAAAGAUCUCGUCAUGGUGCCUCAAGCUCCUUCCAGCACCAAUUUGGACAUCAGACCUGUAGGUAUCCAUCUUUUCUGGUACAGAUUCUCGGCAGAGAGACUAAAUAAGAAGAGAGCUAUGAUGAGAAACAUCCACAUAGGAAAUAUAAGAAUUAAUCUACUAUUAUAUAAAAGGUUAGGGUCAAUCCACUAAUUGCCAAUUAGUUUUAAGUUGAAAGACCAUAAUAAACCUAAAUCUAACAAGAGGAGAUUUUGUACUUUUUCUUCUACACGGUUUCAAACUAAAUAUUGUUGACAAAAUAAAAAAGUAAACUAAGUGAUAAUAUUACUCUAUUAGUCCACCUUAAGAUUAAGAAAAUCAUACCCAAUGUCUUUUUUCCUACACGCUUUCUGAUUAAGGCAACCUAAGUAAUGCUGACAAACAUAAAAGCAAUUAAGUUAAGAAACUAUUCUGCAGUACUGUUUUUUUUUUUCCAACAAGCUUACAAAUCAAUUAGUGCGACUGCAAAUAUAUGAAUAUACAGAAAAUUUCCAACCAAAGAAUGGUAGUGGAGAAACAUUGACUGACGCAAGAAGAAAAUAAAGUUAGAGAGAAUAGGGAUAUAAAAUCAUUACUAACAAGUUCAGUACGACCUAUAAGGCCCACGUGAUCUUAGUCAAAUUCAAUCUACCAUUUUGACUAGUAGGUGAGAGAGAUGUAGACAUUGUCUGUUUGGAAUAAUUAGAUUUUAAGUUAACACAACUUCAUGUUUUUCAUGAAAAGAAGGUAAGCUCGUUUUCAUGUUACCGAUACAAUAGUGAAUGUGUAUGAACAGUUUUUGUGUCUGCUUACAAUUUCUCAAGGUCCAAACGUUACAGGGUUUAUCAUGUCAUAUUGAAGGCAUCUCAAAGUUUCCGAAAGCUCAUUAAUGCGUGGGUGUGAAGUACAGUCACCGACUACAAAAGCUGACACUUGGUUUCCUACUUCUAUCCAGCUACAUCCAGGUGUUUUCUUCAUGCCUCGCUCAACCAUUUCUCUCCUCACAUCUUCUGCUUCCUUCCACCUCCCACUAGAGCAGUACAAGUUAGACAACAGAACAAAACUCAUCUCCUCGCUUGGCUCCGCU